GAAGAGAAAGGACUAUCCCAGAGCAGGAUGAAGCGAAAGUAAAAUUUCGGGGAGGUCCGAACCCACGAGCGUUGAAAAGCUCGGGGAUGACGUGUGGGUAGCGGUGAAAUUCCAAUCGAGCCCGGAGAUAGCUGGUUCUCCCCGAAAUAGCUUUAGGGCUAGCCGCAAGGUGAGAGAUACGGAGGUAGAGCACUGAAUGUCCUAGGGGGUAUUGCACCUACCGAAGACUAUCAAACUCCGAAUGCCGUCAUCUUAUACUUGGGAGUCAGACUGUGGGUGAUAAGAUUCAUAG
rnacentral:rRNA from 1 species